GAUGAACGCUAGCGGCAGGCUUAAUACAUGCAAGUCGUGGGGCAGCAUGAGUAGCAAUACUUGAUGGCGACCGGCAAACGGGUGCGGAACACGUACACAACCUUCCGAUAAGUGGGGAAUAGCCCAGAGAAAUUUGGAUUAAUACCCCGUAACAUAUAGAGUAGGCAUCUUCUUUAUAUUAUAGCUUCGGCGCUUAUUGAUGGGUGUGCGUCUGAUUAGGUAGUUGGCGGGGUAACGGCCCACCAAGCCUACGAUCAGUAGCUGAUGUGAGAGCAUGAUCAGCCACACGGGCACUGAGACACGGGCCCGACUCCUACGGGAGGCAGCAGUAAGGAAUAUUGGACAAUGGGCGAAAGCCUGAUCCAGCCAUGCCGCGUGAAGGAUUAAGGUCCUCUGGAUUGUAAACUUCUUUUACUUGGGACGAAAAAAGGGAAUUCUUUCCCACUUGACGGUACCAAGUGAAUAAGCACCAGCUAACUCCGUGCCAGCAGCCGCCGUAA
rnacentral:rRNA from 1 species